UAGCACAGAGAGCUUGCUCUCGGGUGACGAGCGGCGGACGGGUGAGUAAUGUCUGGGAAACUGCCUGAUGGAGGGGGAUAACUACUGGAAACGGUAGCUAAUACCGCAUAAUGUCGCAAGACCAAAGUGGGGGACCUUCGGGCCUCAUGCCAUCAGAUGUGCCCAGAUGGGAUUAGCUAGUAGGUGGGGUAACGGCUCACCUAGGCGACGAUCCCUAGCUGGUCUGAGAGGAUGACCAGCCACACUGGAACUGAGACACGGUCCAGACUCCUACGGGAGGCAGCAGUGGGGAAUAUUGCACAAUGGGCGCAAGCCUGAUGCAGCCAUGCCGCGUGUGUGAAGAAGGCCUUCGGGUUGUAAAGCACUUUCAGCGGGGAGGAAGGCGUUAAGGUUAAUAACCUUGGCGAUUGACGUUACCCGCAGAAGAAGCACCGGCUAACUCCGUGCCAGCAGCCGCGGUAAUACGGAGGGUGCAAGCGUUAAUCGGAAUUACUGGGCGUAAAGCGCACGCAGGCGGUCUGUCAAGUCGGAUGUGAAAUCCCCGGGCUCAACCUGGGAACUGCAUUCGAAACUGGCAGGCUAGAGUCUUGUAGAGGGGGGUAGAAUUCCAGGUGUAGCGGUGAAAUGCGUAGAGAUCUGGAGGAAUACCGGUGGCGAAGGCGGCCCCCUGGACAAAGACUGACGCUCAGGUGCGAAAGCGUGGGGAGCAAACAGGAUUAGAUACCCUGGUAGUCCACGCCGUAAACGAUGUCGAUUUGGAGGUUGUGCCCUUGAGGCGUGGCUUCCGGAGCUAACGCGUUAAAUCGACCGCCUGGGGAGUACGGCCGCAAGGUUAAAACUCAAAUGAAUUGACGGGGGCCCGCACAAGCGGUGGAGCAUGUGGUUUAAUUCGAUGCAACGCGAAGAACCUUACCUGGUCUUGACAUCCACAGAACUUAGCAGAGAUGGUUUGGUGCCUUCGGGAACUGUGAGACAGGUGCUGCAUGGCUGUCGUCAGCUCGUGUUGUGAAAUGUUGGGUUAAGUCCCGCAACGAGCGCAACCCUUAUCCUUUGUUGCCAGCGGUUAGGCCGGGAACUCAAAGGAGACUGCCAGUGAUAAACUGGAGGAAGGUGGGGAUGACGUCAAGUCAUCAUGGCCCUUACGACCAGGGCUACACACGUGCUACAAUGGCAUAUACAAAGAGAAGCGACCUCGCGAGAGCAAGCGGACCUCAUAAAGUAUGUCGUAGUCCGGAUUGGAGUCUGCAACUCGACUCCAUGAAGUCGGAAUCGCUAGUAAUCGUAGAUCAGAAUGCUACGGUGAAUACGUUCCCGGGCCUUGUACACACCGCCCGUCACACCAUGGGAGUGGGUUGCAAAAGAAGUAGGUAGCUUA
rnacentral:rRNA from 1 species